CUACCGGAAGCUGCUGGAGGGAGAGGAGAGCCGGUGAGGGGCCAGGAUCAAUCUCCCCAUCCAGACCUACUCUGCCCUCAACUUCCGAGAAACCAGCCCUGAGCAAAGGGGUUCUGAGGUCCAUACCAAGAAGACGGUGAUGAUCAAGACCAUCGAGACACGGGAUGGGGAGGUAAUGAGGCCACACAGCAGCAGCAUGAAGUGCUCUAAAGACAGAGACCCUCUGCCACCAGAGACCGUCCUCACCCCUGUCCUCACUGCUCCCUGAAGCCAGCCUUCUUCCAUCCCAGGACACCACACCCAGCCUCAGUCCUCCCCUCACAGCCUCUGACCCCUCCUCACUGGCCAUCCCUCGUGGUCCCCAACAGCGACAUAGCCCAUCCCUGCCUGGUCACAGGGCAUGCCCCGGCCACCUCUGCGGACCCCAGCUGUGAGCCUUGGCUGUUGGCAGUGAGUGAGCCUGGCUCUUGUGCUGGAUGGAGCCCAGGCGGGAGCGGUGGCCCUGUCCCUCCCACCUCUGUGACCUCAGGCACUAGCCUUUGGCUCUGGAGACAGCCCCAGAGCAGGGUGUUGGGAUACUGCAGGGCCAGGACUGAGCCCCGCAGACCUCCCCAGCCCCUAGCCCAGGAGAGAGAAAGCCAGGCAGGUAGCCAGGGGGACUAGCCCCUGUGGAGACUGGGGGGCUUGAAAUUGUCCCCGUGGUCUCUUACUUUCCUUUCCCCAGCCCAGGGUGGACUUAGAAAGCAGGGGCUACAAGAGGGAAUCCCCGAAGGUGCUGGAGGUGGGAGCAGGAGAUUGAGAAGGAGAGAAAGUGGGUGAGAUGCUGGAGAAGAGAGGAGAGGAGAGAGGCAGAGAGCGGUCUCAGGCUGGUGGGAGGGGCGCCCACCUCCCCACGCCCUCCCCUCCCCUGCUGCAGGGGCUCUGGAGAGAAACAAUAAAGAGAUUCACACAC
rnacentral:lncRNA from 10 species